UACGGAGGGUGCGAGCGUUGUUCGGAAUCACUGGGCGUAAAGCGCGUGUAGGCGGCCCACUAAGUCUGAUGUGAAAGCCCGGGGCUCACCCCCGGAAGUGCAUUGGAAACUGGUGGACUCGAGUCCCGGAGAGGAGAGUGGAAUUCCUGGUGUAGCGGUGAAAUGCUUAGAUAUCGUCAAGAACACCUAUAGCGAAGGCAGCUUACUAGGCUGUAACUGACGCUGAGGCACGAAAGUGUGGGGAUCAAACAGG
rnacentral:rRNA from 1 species